rnacentral:lncRNA from 1 species
CGCACAGCAACUUGGGGUAGGGAAGAGAGUCUGGAUGGGAGACAUCAGACAUCACUAUGUCAUGGAGAACCCCCUGCAACUGCAUAAAGGGACUAACAAUUUGUACCUGGCCUUCGUGAGACCCCUGGAGGGAACUGCCACUGGCGCUGGUUUCGUAGCAAGAAUAUACCUCAAAUGACCAAACAGGAAUGAAAAACUUCAGAUGGUUUAGGUGCCAGUGGCUUCCGAAUAAAACAGCAUUCUUGAAGUGAACAGCUGAUGAGGACAUGAAAUAUUAUGCCAAAGCUGGCAUCACACUGUUCUUUUUCCUGGAUGAAAAUCUCUCUGAGAAGCAUUUGCUCUUAACUUUGGUGUCCUGGGGACUGCUGCCUUAUCCCAGGAAGCCACCCAGAGUCUUGGAUGUGUGGGAUCCUUAGGACUUCAUGGUAAACCUGCUCUAGUCCCUCGGGUUAGUAAAAUGAAGCCCAGGACAUCUGAGAGCCCCCAGCACUUCCAUAGAAAUGGACCAAAAUCCCUUCUCCCAGGGGGAGAAACCUGGAAUAAGCUCAAGAGGACAGACGGCUAAAUUUUCAAGAAUCGUGUGAGCUGCUGUUAAACAAGCCAUUAUUAAAACUUUAAUUGUGUAAACUUACAAUUAGGUCAGUUAUAUUAAAAGUAAAAGUGAUACAUACCCCAAACUCAUCUCUUUCAAGUUAUUUUACUAUAUUUUACUGUUUUCUAUAGGCUUGAAGUUAUUUACAUCUACUGUAAGUGUGGGGGUGGAAAUUCAAUAUAAUGACACGCUACCAAGCACCUCUUCUCAACUUGGUGUUUAGUGACCUCACCAAGGUAGCUUCAAACAGGCUGUGAUGGGAGUAUUUACACCUCAGAAAUUAGCAAAUGCUAUUAAUUAGGGCUCUUUUCCCCCCAGAGACCCUGGUAUUAAGCAUUUAUUAGCACCUGGGCACAGUGGCUCACGCCUGUAAUCCCAGCACUUUGGGA